GCGGGAAGAGGCGGCGAUGGGCGAUGCGGCCCUCGUGCUGGGCCUCGGCCCCGCGCAGCCAUUUUGUGCGGGGCGCCGCGGCGGGGGCGGGCACGGCACUGGCUCCGCGCCCCCUCCCCGCAGCCCCGCGAACCUCCGGGCAGGGGAGAUGCGAGGGCAGCGAGCCGGGGCGGCGGGGAGGGCUGGGGACGGAUGGGCCCCGGCGUUGCGCUAUAGCUUGGCCUCGGCGCCUCUCCCUUUUCCCCCUCCCGAGCCCUGCGACUCAGCAUUCCCGGGGGCUCAGCGUGCGCUCCCCCGAACGCCCCCGCCAGUCUCUGCCUGCCGACGGCAUGAGCCCGCCGGUUCGCUCCUCUUGUAUAUCCCUGGCGGCUGUCUGCGUUAUUUGGGUUAGGGUGGUAUGUCCUGCGCAACACCCGGUAUUAUUUUUGUGGGGUCAGAUGACCCUGUCGCUGUUCCUUAUUUUGUCUUGUUGGGUGCGGUAUUUCUUCUAAGCUGCGGAGUUUGUGGAGUCUUUAUUUUCUCUUUGUUGCCAUAUAUUGCUUUAAGUGUAGAAAGCACGGCCGCAUGCCCCAGGAUGCGCUUACCCUUAGCACAUUGUGGAGGGAAUAGAGGAGAUGCCAUAUGUUGUGCAAGCGAACUUAAGCAAGAAAAGAGGGGAAAAAAAGUCUAGAUACUGGUUUUACUGCAAGACGAGUGUGUGGACAUGAUUCUUGAAAACCAAGUUUAGGCAUUCAUUCUUCUUAUGUGAGGUCUCUGAUCUGAAGCCACUAAUGUCAGCAGAGUGGACUUGGGAAAGUAGUGUAGCAGGCAGAGCUGUGCCCACACCUGUCAUGGAAAAAUAAGAUGGGAAAAAAUUAAAAUAGUUUUCUGUAGGACAGCUUCCUGAUUUUGGAAUCAGCAUUAUAUAAGUAAAAAUAGAAGUAUCUGAUCGGUGGGAAAACAUCACAAUUUCUGCGCCAGUUCAGGCAGUGUUCAUCUGGUGACUCUUCGUAGUUUUGUAUGGCUUUUUCUGAAAAUAAUUCCAUAAAUAUUCUCCCCACUCCUUUUAGUCCAUGGCUGGCAGUUGUGACAUGCAAUGUCCAACAGAGAGCAUUUAGCCCAUACCUUGGUCUUUGCUGUACAGUUUUACUCAGGGGCACUUGUUUGAGGGAAGCCUUAAGAUCUGUGAAAUGCUUGCCUGCUUCUCUCUGUAUCUUUCUCGAGAGGUAUUGCCGAACCUCUCUUAUCACAGGACUAAGUAUUUUCAUGUGAUGGUGGUCAGCUGUAUGUGUGCAUGUGUGUGAUAAUAUAAGGAAGGUGGCUGAGGUCACCUGGAGGGAUUUGCAGUCCUCAGUUGCUUCUGCACUUCCUACGCUGCUCUGAAUGGUUUGACACCACUUGCUAAGUCUGCUGCAUUCUGCAAGAACAAAUCAAGGUGCUUAUUACAGAAAGAAGCUCACAGUAGAUAAAUUAACUAGCUUUAACUUUUCUCCUCGAUUCUUAACAAUAUUUCUGGUUUUCUUACUGGUUGUGUUUUCUUGUGAAAUGUACUCUUGAAGGGAACAAGUUUCAUGGAAGUUCUGAUCUCUUUAGGGAUAGUCAUAUCCUAGGUUAGAUUGUGGGAUAGGAGGAGAGAUUGGUUUUUUGUUUGGAGUUUUUAUGUUUCUGGUGCUUUUUUUAAAGUCUACCUUAAUUUUUCUGUUUAAGGUUCUUAGCCUGUGAAGAGAAGGCCCUAAGCAACAUACGUAGUAACUCUGAAGCUGAUGUUGUUUUGGGGGAAAAGGGUUGAACCAGAUGACCUCCAGAAGUACCCUUCGACAUGAAUUAUUUCAUUAUUAUGUUCUGUUAUUAAAGGUCAGGGGGAGUAGACAGGAGUACAGGAAACCAAAACCAAACAAAAGCCCAGUGAUAUUGUAGUGUUCAAGUUAAAUAACUCACAUGUGAAAUACCGCUACAGAAUGCUUGUAGCUAAUGUGCUAGUCCAGUGAGAACUGACUUUCAUCUAUGAUGUGAAAUCUCGUAUUUACAAUAGGUAGAUUAGUUUGUUCCCUGUGCUUAUAGUCAAUUUUUGCUUUAAUUUAUCAUAUGCUUAUUGUGUUAUGUAAUUAAAGUUUGUGCAGCCAGUGAAUUUGCUGGAGUUGCUGUAGAAUUUGUGAAGCAAAGCAGUCUACCUAAAGAAAGUAAUUUGUGUCUAAUGUUUGAGUCAAAAAAACCCUGAAAAAAAGCAGUACCCCUUGCUUAAAUAAGGAGCUUGACUGUGUGUAAGGACUAGAGUGGUGUCACAUCUAAACUUGUCCAUGUUUGUUGUGCUGGUGGACGAAGUGUGGCUCUCAGCUGGCAAGUGCUGCGGCUGGUACAGGGUCUGUGUGUCUGUCCUGCUUCAGCAGCCAUCCUGGCUUAAGCACUUUUAAUAGUGACCUUUGCUAACCUGAGUUGUUUUGGCUGAUGCAGAUCAGGGAGCUCUCAGGCCUGUGGUGGGUUUAACAUCCCCUGUGAAGAAGCAGUAACCUGCUGAGGGAGGGUGUGGGGCCGCAGGCUCUGCUGGCACAGCUCUCUGCUUUUUGUCACACACAGGCUGCAGCGUGCAACCAACAGUGACCAUCGGGGGAAACUAAACUGUACCUGGGUUACUUUCUGGGAUGUCUAAAGAGUGAUUAAGCAUACCUGAUGUGAAGUCUAACACAGAUACCCUAGGAAAUUCUGGUGAUUAGAGAUCAUGGCAACCAUAGAGGAACUGGCCCAUCAAAUUUUUGAACAGCAAAUGGGAGAGGUUACACAUUCCCAGGAAGCUGUUACACAAACACUAAUGGAUGGGACACCACAACGAAUACAGAUCGUCCCUGCAGAUUCAGGCCUCUCUUUAUCACAGCGUAUACAGAUUGUCACAGAUCAGCAGACGGGCCAGAAGAUUCAGAUUGUUACAGCACUUGAUCAGAGCUCAGCAGGCAAGCAGUUCAUCUUAACAAAUCAUGAUGGCUCUACCCCAAGCAAGGUGAUCCUUGCCAGACAAGAUUCCACUCCAGGAAAAGUUAUCCUGGCAACUCCAGAUGCUGCAGGUGUCAACCAACUGUUUUUUGCAUCCCCUGAUAUAUCUGCACAACACAUCCAGAUUUUAACAGACAACUCACCCAAUGAACAGGGCUUAAAUAAAGUGUUUGAUCUGUGUGUUGUAUGUGGAGACAAAGCAUCAGGGCGUCAUUAUGGAGCAGUAACUUGUGAGGGAUGCAAAGGAUUCUUUAAAAGGAGUAUACGGAAGAAUUUAGUUUAUUCCUGCCGAGGAACAAAAGACUGUGUCAUUAACAAACACCACCGGAAUCGCUGUCAGUAUUGCAGGCUGCAGAGAUGCAUCGCCUUCGGGAUGAAACAAGAUUCUGUACAAUGUGAGAGGAAACCUAUUGAAGUGUCAAGAGAAAAAUCUUCUAACUGUGCAGCUUCUACAGAAAAAAUCUACAUUCGGAAAGAUCUUCGUAGUCCAUUAGCUGCAACCCCAACUUUUGUAACAGACAAUGAAACAGCGAGAUCAACGGGUUUGCUGGAAUCAGGAAUGUUUGUUAACAUUCAUCCGUCUGCAAUAAAAAGUGAGCCUACUGUGCUGAUGACUCCAGAUAAGGUAGAAGCAUGUCAAGGAGAUUUAAGUACACUGGCAAAUGUGGUGACUUCAUUAGCAAAUCUCAGUAAAUGCAAAGACAUGUCACAAAGCAGUACAGAGCUAUCUAUGAUUGAGAGUUUAAGUAAUGGAGAUGCAUCAUUAUCUGAACCCAAGCAAGAAGAACAAGCUAGUAGUGAUGUUACAAGGGCAUUUGAUACUCUUGCAAAAGCAUUAACUCCAGGAGAGAGCACAGCAUGCCAGAGCUCUGAAAGUAUUGAUGCCAGUGCACAGCUGCUUGGUGGAGAAACAAGCAUGAACAUUGUUGAAAUAGAGGGGCCACUACUCAGUGAUGCUCAUGUAGCAUUCAGGCUCACCAUGCCUUCUCCUAUGCCUGAUUAUCUUAAUGUUCACUAUAUCUGCGAGUCUGCCUCCAGGUUGCUUUUCUUGUCCAUGCACUGGGCACGUUCCAUUCCAUCUUUCCAAGCUUUAGGACAGGAUAACAGCAUAUCAUUAGUAAAAGCCUGCUGGAAUGAACUUUUUACACUUGGUCUAGCACAAUGCUCACAAGUUAUGAAUGUGGCAACGAUCUUAGCUGCAUUUGUUAAUCACCUUCAAGGCAGUUUACAACAAGAUAAGCUGCCAACAGACAGAGGAAGACUAGUAAUGGAGCAUGUCUUCAAAUUGCAAGAGUUUUGUAACAGCAUGGUUAAGCUGUGUCUAGAUGGAUAUGAAUAUGCAUAUUUGAAAGCAAUCGUCCUCUUCAGUCCUGAUCACCCAGGUCUAGAAAAUGUGGUACAGAUUGAGAAAUUUCAAGAAAAAGCUUACAUGGAGUUCCAAGACUAUGUAACAAAGGCAUAUCCGGAUGAUACUUACAGACUAUCUAGACUUCUUCUCCGAUUGCCUGCUCUUAGGCUGAUGAGUGCUGCCAUCACUGAAGAGCUGUUCUUUGCAGGACUAAUUGGAAACGUUCAGAUCGAUAGCAUCAUCCCGUACAUUCUGCGAAUGGAGACAGCAGACUACAACUCUCAGAUCAUCGGUCAUGCCGUAUAAAAGCAGCAGUCCAGGAUUCUGUACCAUGGCAAUCAUGGUGAUGUAAAUGCAUACCCUGUCUCCAAGAGAUGGUAAUAAGCCUUCCAGUGCACCUUUCCAAAGAAGGCUCAUAUUCCUCCUUUCCAGUACACUUGGGAAACAUGGUGGAGUGUAUUGGGAUAUAGGAUCACUUCCUGUUCUUCAUCUGUCUUCAAGGACUUGUAAAUUAACUUGAUAACUGAAGAAAGUCAAGAAUUGUCCAUCCUAUUUUUGUAGAUAGACGGACUUGGAAUAUUUGUUUAUGAAGUCCAGGCUUACGAGGAAACUGCAGAAGCUUUGACUGAACUAAGCACUGUUUUGGAGGGGAUGUCCUCAGAACCUGAUUUUCUCUGGAUUCCUGUCCUUGUUUCCUCUUCGUGCCCUAGUCUGUUUGAAUAGAAGUUAACUUCAGUAACGCAUGGACUGCCACUACCACGGACUUCUGGGUCAAGACUACUUGCUUAGGAUGUGUUAACUCAUAAGCACAGAAACCUUGGUUGUGUUUCACAUCAGGUUGUUUAAAUUCAGGCAUGUGUAUAUUGUGAGGGCCAAAAAACCCCUGCAUUUUAUGAUCUUGGAUACCUCUGACAUUUGGACCUCUAAAGAGCCAAAGUGCAUACAUACAAUGCAUAGCAAACAGCUCUGGCUACUGGUAAGUGACCUUUCCCCCCCCCCCCAGUUUUACAUUUUUAUAAUAAUAACUUUUCAAAGUUGAUAUAAAGGUAGUGUGCAGCUGAUCUGUGCUGCCUCCCAAGUAAUCUCUUUUGUCUUUCUGAUGAUCUAAAAGACACAUCCCAUACAGGAGGUUGUUGUUUCAGUGUUACUCACUUUGCUCAAAGUGCUCAGCAAGACCUUCAUUAAUUAUUUCAUUAAUCAUUCUUAAACUAUAAAUUCAUCCUUUUGAUAAGGAAUGAGGCAUAACAGGGUUUUCUCAGGAAUGGGAGCUUUAAAACAGGUAAAUACAGGAAUCAACAUGGUUUUUCCUUGUUCAUGUUAAACAUUACAGUCAUCUAAGAACAAUGCAACAGCUCAUGGAAAAACCAAACCAUGGAGUUAUGGUUUUGUUUUGGUUACUUUAAGAUAACUGCUUCUAAGUUAAAUUAAAUGUAUCAAGUUACCUUUAACUGAGGCCCUUAGUGUUUCGAACAGUUAUUUUUUAUGAUUACAUGAUCUCACAUUACCACCUGUGUGAUUUAUUGUCAUUUAUAGUCUUGUGAAUGAAUAUUCUUUGGUACUGAAUGACAGACUGGCUAAUAUUACUGGGUUCUGUCAGUACCCCUGUCAAUACAAUAACAAAAGUGUGAGUAUUGAAGCUUUCUCCGCAAUGGAUGUUAAAAUAUCUCAUUGUUUUUGUGAUUUCUUUUCACCUUUAAAUUACUUGUCAACUUUCUGAUCUUUACAAGCCUUGACAGUUUUCAGAGCCAGUCAGGAUUUAACCAAAUUGUGGCAUUUACCAGCCAAAAACUCUUUGCCAAUGAAAGGAUAAGUUUAGUUUCAAUAGCUUUAAAAUUUUCAAUGUUAAGAGCAAGAAAAAUCAUUUUAAUAUAAAUCACAUGAAAGGAAAAACAAUUUUAUACAUUUUAGAAUCCUAUAAUUUAAAGAUUAUAGUACUGUUACACAUAAUAGGCUUACUAGUUCAAAUAUUUUUCAUGAAACUGUACGUUGCACACAUGUCUGUGGGUUUAGGUUGCUUGUUUCAUACUGCUAAAGUUCCUAGUGCAAAUAAUUGUUAUAUUUAAAACUUUUUCCAAGAGUACCUUCACUGCAAUACCUUCUGUAGUUACAAACCUAUCUGUCCACCCAUCUAUUCUUGUCAUGUGAUCUUGAGUGUCAGUGAAAGUCAGUCUGUUCUUUUUGAAACUGGUCUGUUCAUUUUGUUCAGCCGCUGUGGUUUGCUAGUACAUCAGUUCCAGUGUAAGCAAUACAGUGUCACUGUAGUUGUCUUGCUGUUGUAUAAAGAAGUCACUAUAAAUGUCUUGAAACCUGGCUAAAUUGGAAAACUCUAUUUUGGUUGUAUUUUUAAAAAUAAAUUGUAACUUUCUAUUAUAGAAAACAAUUGCAAUAUCCUAUUACUUUGGUAGUGUUUUAUAUGAAUUGUCGUAUGGACCUAGAACACUGUAAAUGAUUACAAAUAGUUUGUGGAUCUUUCACAUUUUUAUUACAGAGUGUAGGAUUGUCAGUUAUAUUCAGUCUCUGGGAUUUGUGGUAGCUGCAAUAUCUUGCUGUUUGCUAAACUUUGUUGCUAUUAACCCUCUGUUUCCAUGCUUACUACUUUCUGGCCUAUGCAUUUGAAAAUUAAUAAUUUAUUGUAAAAUUUAAUUUACCAAUGUUUCGUUUUUUAAAAUGCUGUAUGGAAAUAUAUAUUGUAAUGAACCCAAAUCAUAGAUCUUCAUGUCAUAUAAUGCAAUAAUGGAUUUUUGGAAAUUAGUAUUUGAUCCAUUAUGGAUCAGUUUUAGGUUGAAAGUUAUAGUAUGGUUAAACAAAGCUUUUUCCUUUUGCAAGAAACAGACUUCAGAUAUUCAAGUAAACUUAUCUCAGUUUCAAAUACCACUGGAUAAAUAAUUAAUUUAUUAUUGCUUAAAACUGUGAAAUUAGCACAA